CGCUUUCCUCCCUGGCACUGGGCGUGCGGGUAAGAGAGACAGUCCCGAGCAGCUGCCUGUGCCCUGGAAGCUUCCCAGACGACAGCACCGUGGGUUUCCUAUCCUGAGUCCAUAGUGCUGGCUUCUGGGAUGCAGUCUGCUGGGCAGGUCUGGGGGAAGCAAGGUCAUAUGACUAGGGGAGAGGAGGGGAGGGGAAGGGCCAGGCUCUGGGGACGCCGUCUGGCUGAAGGGCUGUGUCUGUACGGACUGUCCCUUUCUCCACCUGUAGUCAGGCCUUGGUGAAAAGGAGGGGGCUCAGGCCCGGUUGGUCUGGGUGCUGGUGGAAUGAUUCUGCUGCUAAACUGCACCUCCAGGCCUCUCCGGAGGUGCUCCUGUGUGGCAUGGAAUUGAGCAUGUCCUGAGCAGGGAACAAGAAGAAGUGAUGACUUUUUCGUACAGUAUAAGAUGGAGAGGUUGUAUCUGUUCUGAUAGUUAAGGGGACAGUGUUGGUCUUUGUGCUUUUCCCUCACUCAGGCCUUGGAUAGUGGCCACUCCGUAACCAGGGGCUGCUACUUCUUUGGGAAUCAUGAAAGCUAGGAGUUCUCUUUGGAGGAGCAUGCAAGAAGACACAUAUUUAGCUAAAAAUCUCAAGAGUUUCACAGAUACCCAGGAGCCUAGGCAUGGACUCCAGUUAAGAAACCCUGGUUACCAGCUCCUAGCUGUGGUGGGCAGAAUAAUGCCCACCCCCCAAGAUGCCCACGUCCAAAUGCCCAGAACCUAUAAGUACAUGGCAGAAGGGGCUGUGCAGAUGUGACUACAGAUCUUGAGCUGGAGAGAUGGUCCUGGAUUGUCCUGGGUGGGCCCAGCGUCCUCAUGUGUCCUGAUAAGAGAGGGAGACCAGGGCGUCAGGAGGGAGGUGUGAGGAGCUGUGCGGCCCUGAGCUGGGAGUGUGGGUAGCCCCCGGGACCCCAGAGCCUCCAGAGAGGGGCACAGAUCUGCCAUACUCUGAUUUUCACUCAGUCAUUUUAGACAUCUGGCCUCCAAAGCUGGAGACAGUGAAUUUGUGGUGCCUUAAGCCACUGAGUUAAUGGUGACUUGUGACAGUGGCACUCAGAGACAGGCCAGCCCAGGCUGCUGGCUCCCAUCCUGGAAUGGGAAAUGCCACAGAGCUGAGAGAAAAUAACGUAAAAGCUGUGAAAUGCCCUGGGGAGACAGAAGACAGCUGGAGCCCAGGCUGAAGGCAGGGCGGACAGCUUGCCGCACAGCAGGCUGGUGCCGGCCGGGCCUUCGCCUCCCCCAGCCUUGCUUCUCUCCCACCACACUGGAAGUCCUGAGUCCAGGGAACGAGAAACUUCUGGUGAAGAGCCUCAUUGAGGUGCCCUGGCAGUUAGUCUCCGGGAAAGUGUUCAAGGGCAGAUCAGCCCUGAGUGGAAUUCAUGGGGCUCAUUCUCCUCCCCACUCCCCCAGCAGGGCCAGACAGUGUUCCAAAUGCUAAGGGUACCGCAGUAAACAAAACAAAGUCCCUACCCUUAAGGAGCAGAAAACAGAUAAAACACGUGUCUAGUGGUAUUUUUCAGGGAAGAAAAUCAGCAGGUGCUAGUCUUUGGGAAGGGGUGGAUUUAACCAGGAAGAUGUGGAGGCCCCACUGAGCUGCUGUUUGAACAUGGCUGUGAAGGAGUGAGGUUGGGGUCAGCAGUGAGCAUGGGGCUUAGCGGGGAAAGAACAUGGCAGGGCAAGUGACCGCAGGCCAGCCUGGAGGCGAGCCGGAGGACGGAGAGUCGGGGCGAGGCCCGAGGUGAAGAGGUGGCAGGCCUGUGUCCUUGCGAGGUUGGAGUCCGGCCCUGCCUCUCGGGGAGGUGGGGGGCAUGGGGAGGAGGGGAGAAGCUCGGUCCCUCCUGGCGGACAGCCUCGGGCAGCCCGGUGCGAGUGCAGCCGGAGUAGGAGGAAGACCCCAGGUUGGCAGUCUGGGCUGGCAGCAGCAGAAUCAUGCUCCCAGAUGCAGUGCAGGACGGAAUAAGCAAAGUACAUAUCCUCAGGAAGAGGAGGGGCUGAGGACCGGAGGGGACUCGGAGGCACGCUUAGGAACAGUGCUCAGGGCUGGGUGAGGAGCGGGUGGCAUGGAGCCGAAGGUGGGACAGGCCGGAGGGUCCGGGUGAGGAAUUCCCGGAGGCCCCGUGGAGGGACAGAGGUGGAAGACGGCAGGGGGAAGGUGCGGGGGAGGACGGGAGCAGGAACGUCAGUGUCCGCAUGGCAGGAGCCCAGAAGUGGAGGGGAAGUGAUGGGCCAGAGGGGAGGAAGUCUUGGAGGACGGAGGGACUGAGAGCUCCUCGGACGUCACAGACAGGGGAAGGGUCUUUGAUACAAAGAAUGCUAAACACAAGACAGACCGCAGGCCUGUGACUACAGACAUUACAGUGGACUUUAACAACAAAGGUGUAAACUCUAGAUCUUUCCUAAAGAAAAAGUUGCAAAGGAGUAAAAAGGAAAUCAGUAUUAAACUUCUGAACAGCAGCAGUGGAUUUAUGAGAAAGUUUUCAGUAUUAAAGUAAAGAAACUUUAAAACUAGAAUUCUGUAGCCUGCUAAACCAUUCGUUAAAUGAAAAGAAGACAUGAGUUCCUUCUCUGACACAGUCGACCUUAGGAGGCUUUCCACGUGGAGCUGCCCUCCAGGACCCCUGGGGAGGAGCGGUGCUGGGGGCCCAGGGCAAGGCCCGUGGCCUGCGUGGGGCUGUGCGCCAGCGAGGCACCCUGCUGCCCAGAGAAGCUGGGACGUGGUGCCUUUGGGGUGAGCAGGUUCCUUCACGAGGCACAGCGCUGUGAGCCAUGGAGGAGGACUUGCCUAGAGUGGGUGAACUUUGGGAACUUCAGUUCACAGAGUGAGAAAAGCUGUUUGCAAUACACAUCUCAUAAAUUGCUUAAUCCAGAGUUUUAAAGAAACCCCUCUUCAUCAGCAAAAAGGAAGUGAGACAAUACUGUUGGGAAGAGGGGCAAGACCGCCACUUCACAGAAGAGGAUGCCCAGGCAAGCAUCUGGAGGGGCGCUCAGCCUCAGCUGGCAUCCACGGGGGGCAAAUGAGAAUCAGCCAGUGCCUCUUCGCACCCUUCUGGAUGGCUGAAUGACAAGACAGUGCCAGGUGCUGUGGGAGAUGUGAAGCAACCUGGGUUGUCGGUCCCUGCUGAUGGGACAUGCAAAUUGGUACAGGGAUCUUAGGAGAUUUGGCAUCGAGUGCUUAAUAAAGAAUCAUUGUUAACAAAGAAUCUAUAAUUCAGGGAUCCACUGCUAGGCAUACAACCAACAGAAGUACAUUCCGUGUUUACCCAAACCUAAGUUUACACAUGUUCCUGACACCACUGUCAUCGUCGCAGGCUGGCGCUGACCCAAAUGUCUGCCGGAAUCAGACUGGAUAGAAGAACUGCUGUGUGCACAGUGCACUUAGAGCUGUGGCAGCGUGGAGUGUCAUACACAGUGUCCUGGCGUGCUGUGUGAGCCCCGGAUGUGCGGCCUAAGGAGAGCCCAAGGUCACAAUGUAGUUAGCCUUGGGAAGAGCUGUGGCCACAGGGAGCUGAGGAGGAAGCCUGGGGGCUGGGCUGGUGCUCGUUGUAGAUGUGUGCAACUUGGUGUAAAGGCCUCGGUUUUUGUACUCCCAUGAUUUACAUAUUUUUCUAUGUAAUACUUAAGUAAAAGUUUAAUAAAUAAGAAAAAAGGUUUAAGAGAGCCACCUACAUGAGUAACAAUCUAGAAGUAAAUUUUGUGUGAUCUCAACCUGGGAGCCAGGUGAAGUGACAGGUGGCAGUAAGGAGCAUAGGAGAUGAGAAUGCCGUGAACUACUACGGCUGGGGAGACAUGCACAUGAUUAAGUUUAAGUAAUUGGGAGAAAAAGAACUGAAACAGAUCCUAAAAACUUGAUGGAAUAGCCACAGAAAUAUAAAAAUAGAAUUUAUAUAUUUGAAAUAUGGUAUAUUGAUUAGGAGAGGUUUGGUGGCAAUUAAGGAAGACUUGAGAAUCAGUGUGUAAGCAGGAUAGAUGCUUACAUUUUUCUUUUUCUUUUUUUAAUGGGAAUAAAGUUGAUACACAAUAUUAUAUUGGUUUCAGAUGUACAACAUAGGGACAUAUGUUACUAGAUGCUUGCCACAGUAAGCAGCCACCCCAUUACCAUGCCAAGGUGUUACGGUAUUGUUGUUAUAUUCUGUAUGUUGUGUGUCCAUUCCUGUGACUAAUUUAUUUUACAAUUCACAGGUUGUAGCUCUUUAUCCCCUUCAUCUACUUCACCCAUUCCCCCACCCACUUCCCUCUGCUGACCAGCAGUGUGUUGUUAAUAUUUAUGGUCUCUCUCUCUUCUUUCUCUCUUUCUUUUGUCCCUAUAACCCAUGCCCCCAUGGAUCCAUUUCUUUUUGUUUGUUUUGUUUUUUAGAGUCUGCAUAUAAGUGAAAUCAUACAGUAUUUAUCUUUGUCUGGUUUUUGUCCUGAGCAUAAUGUCCUCUAGGUCCAUCGAUAUUGUCCCACAUGGGGAGAUUUCCUUUUUCACAGCCAAGUAGCAUUCCAUUGUGUGUAGGUACCACAUCUUUAUCCAUCCUCUGUCGGUGGGCACUUGGGUUACUUCCCUGUCCUGGCUAUUGGGAAUAGCGUGGCAAUGAACAUACAUCUUUUUGAACAUACAAAGGUGUGCACAUAACUUUCUGAACUAGUGAUUUUGUUUACUUUGGGUCCAUUCCCAGAAGUGGAGUUACAGGGUCAUAUAGUAUUUCUGUUUUCAGUUUUUUGCAGAAUAGCUGUAUUGUUUUCCCUAGUGGCUGCAGCAGUUUCUCCUAAAGAGAGUGUCUGAGGUGGGUAGUCCAGUGCUGGUAUUAUUAGCAACUCAGCUCCUCUGUUAUGUUGCUGGACCGUUUGUGGCCUCGGAUAAUGUAAAAAUAGAAGAGUAAAAUAUAUACAGCUGGCCCUUGAACAAUUCAGGUUAGGGGUGCUGACCUCCCGUGCAGUUGAAAAUCUGCAUGUAGCUUUUGACUCCCAAAAACUUAACAGCCUCCUGUUGACUAGAAGUCUUACCAAUAAUAUUAAGUCCAUUGACACAUGUAUUCCAUGUUAUUUACUGUGCUCUUACAAUAAGGUAAGAUAAAAUGUUUUUUCAUAUUGUCACAAAUCUCCAAAACGUUUUCCAAUAUAUUUAUUGAAAACAAUCCACGUGUAAGUGGACCUCUGCAGUUCAAAUCCGUGUUGUUCAAGGACAGCUGCACUUCAUGUGAACCACAGGACUGUGGAAGGCGGCUAGGAAGCUGCCACAUCUACAAUGGGAGAGUCAGUGGAAGGCAAGGCAGACCGGAGGAAAGGAAGAGUGUGGACAAGGGGCAGAACUAAGCCUGGAGCAGCCGUGACUAGUGCAAGUAUAGGUGGUCGACUCAGCUCUCAGAUCAGCUGGAAGACAGCAGCCAUGCCCAGUGGCACUUUGUCUAUCAAAGAAGACACACAGCUUAAAAUUGGGAGGAUGGGGAAGGACAUCAAGGGAGUGUGAGUGUCAUCCGGGGAAAGUCACUGAUGGGCUUAAUCCUUGUCUUUAAACCCACCCGGAGAGUCCAUUUUGUUCAUACAUACAAACAUCCUGGUGGAGAGCAGCAUAGUGAAUUGCUUCAUUUAACUCAUUCAUUCACGAGUGAGGACCACCUUAUAAAUUCUGAGCAUUUUCAGAUAGUGUUCUCUUCCUUGUAGAUUGCUUCAGCCUCUGUGCGAGUGCUUCGGAUGUGUUCUGUAGUCCUGGCCUCAUUUCCCUCUCGCUCUCUGACUCUUACAUGCCUGAGGUCCGCGAGGCCUGGUUAGCUCUGAACCACGACAUGGUCCUCUUAAAAGUCACAUGCCCAGAGCCGUGAGAGGCCAGUGUUGCUGCAGUGAAGAUGUGAGUGUGCGCAGAAGAGAGCCAGCAGUGUUUGUGGGGAGAGCAUGGCCUAGGAUACUGGGAAGGCAGCGAGAAUCUGGCUGAGUUCAUUGUUCCCUUAUUGAGCACGCCUGAUGCUGGACUCCUGAUCCUCGUGGUCAGGAGUAAAGGGUGGGCUCAUGCUUAGAGCAGCAUUCAGCCUGAGGGGCAGCUGAGAAGCAGGUAGGUCCCCGUGGAGUAAGAAGGGCAGGCAUGGGUGCUACUGGACCUCCACCCUGGGCUUAGCGCACGUUUGAGUUGCAGUUGGUAGUGACUGGUCCUGCCAAGGCACAAAAAGUGUCCCAGCGGGGAGGGGCUGGGGGCCAGAGACUUGCGCAGAAGUCUUUCAGGAUCAGAGGGAUCCUUACUGGAAGGCAUAGCCGCUGUCUUCAGAGUGUCUGUGGCAUGAGGCCCGCCAGGAGGGAGGGCGGGGUCUUGGCUUUCCGAGUACAUGCACGUGAGAACCAGGUGUUUUCCACAAUGCCUGUUUCCCAGCCUGCAGUGUCCCGAGGUAUGUCCUGGAGUUGUUGCUUGACAAUGACAGAUGCCCAUGUGUCUCCCAGAUGUAAGUCACUUGUGUGCACAGAGAUCUUGCUUUUGAUUUAUCUGUCAAGGGUAGACUUUCAAAUUUUCUGACAUAUACUUGUACUCACCAGUGGGUUUCUUUUUGACUGAAUUUACUCUGAAAAGGACUGGCAGUGUUUUCUAGAACAUUUUAAAUGUCCAGUAAAAUUUUUCUUUACUCUCUCAUCUCAACCAUAAACAUCUGUUUAGGAAAUUGACAGGUCUUGGAUGUAUGUAAUGGCUUUUGUGGAUGCUUUCUUGUUUAAGUUUAAGGGAAUAGCCUAGGCUCCCAGUGGGCAGUUACUAAAAAGGGGGUAUCAAACCACUACUGUCCCACAGUACCUGUUUCCUGACCUGUGAUAACGAGGCAGCCCCAUCAGACCAGCCUUGGGUGGCAACUUUCCUGUCUGGCAGGAGGCGCAAGUCCCGCCUCCCACUGGGCAGGCCUCACUAUGCCGCGCGUGUGGUGGGAGCGCCUGGCUCUAGCGAGUCUCACUCAGCAGGCUUGGGAGGAUGUGGCCCCUGAAGUAAGUGUUCUUCAGGGCGAGAGCUGCUCCCUGCUGGGGGUGAGAGGCUGGGGGCCUCCCCUCCCCGUGGCCUCCACACGGGGAGAGGAGCUGACGCACACUCUGCAGGUGGCACACAGCCACUCCUUACCUGCUUACCUGCUGACCCGCUGGGCUCUUCCUCACAGGGAGCCUGGGUCAGAGCAGAGCCAGGAGGGCGGGCCUGCCCUGGAGAGCACAUCUUAGUCAUUUUCUGUAGCCGAAGAAUAACCCCAGAUCGUGAAGGAGAAUGACAGUUGUAUGCAUUUGAAACAAUGUAGAACAAUUCACUUUCUUCUACAUGUUCUUAUAUGGGUUUAGUAGAAAAUUGAUAAUCAGUUUAAGAUUUGGGGCAGUUAAGUCCUUGAAUUAAUCUGAAAGUAGAAUCAAUCUAAGAUAAGAUGCUGUGAAAAAUAUUGAAACAUGAGGUUGAAACAGGGAGGUUACUAUUUGC